UAUCCACACUCUUUCCUUUCACGAACGCAGUCCCCCACUGCAAUGAAUUAUGCAGUCGAGUUUCCCACUUUUGGGGAAAUCACAGGGGUCAGCACAUCUGGAGUGCAAUGGAUAAGCCUCGCCCUGGG